rnacentral:miRNA from 1 species
ACACACACACACACACACACACACACACACACACACACACACGAAGUCAGAAACGCAAACAUCUCCAUAGGCGACUGUGUGUGUGUGUGUGUGUGUGUGUGUGUUU